CUGGAUAUCCCCCUGAGUCCCACUGUAACAUCCCUCAAUCUGCACUGUAAUCACAUCCCGAGGAUCGAGGGCCUGACCUCAGCUUGGCAUCUGCGGCACUUAGACCUUUCUUCCAAUUGCAUUUCUAAGAUUGAGGGUUUAAGUUCGCUCACUUCCCUCAGGACAUUAAAUUUAUCCUGUAACUUAAUCACGAAGGUUGAAGGACUGAAUGGCCUCGUGAACCUAACAAGAUUAAACUUGUCCUACAAUCAGAUAAAUAACCUCACAGGGUUAUUGUACCUUCAUGGAACUGAGUACAAGCUGAAUUACAUCGGUCUCCAUAGCAACCACCUGGACCAUAUUGAUCACCUGCUGCAGUGCCUGCUGGGAUUGCAAAGCUUAAGAGAGGUGACUUUGAGCCAGAAUGGCAAAGGCAACCCUGUGUGUAGAUCA